rnacentral:rRNA from 1 species
CCAGCAGCCGCGGUAAGACGUAGGAUGCGAGCGUUGUCCGGAUUUAUUGGGCGUAAAGAGUUCGUAGGUGGUUUGUUAAGUUUGGUGUUAAAGAUCGGGGCUCAACCCUGGGACUGCACUGAAUACUGGCAGACUCGAGUGUGGUAGAGGCUAGUGGAAUUCCCAGUGUAGCGGUGAAAUGCGUAGAUAUUGGGAAGAACACCGGUGGCGUAGGCGACUAGCUGGGCCAUAACUGACGCUGAGGAACGAAAGCCAGGGGAGCGAAUGGGAUUAGAUACCCCAGUAGUCA